GCGGGGAGCCGGAGCCUGUCUUCGGAUUGGGCGAUGCGAGGACGUGCGCCUGCUGAUUGGGUGAGGGCAGCGCGGCCGCGUUUGAAGCGAGAGCCGCCCGCUCCGCUGCCUCGGAGGGAGCUGGGCGCUGUCUGAAAAGGUGGAAAGAUGUCCGUUGAGGGCUGAAGCAGGGCCGCUGGGUUUAAACCUUGGCCAGCUUCAGAAUAAUGAUUACCUUUUUCAGUUUGAGACCCCCGAGCACUGUCACUCACCCUAAACACAAAGAAAGAGUUCCGGAGAACACAUCACCUGAUACCACCUUGACUCCAGUCCUUCCAUGAGCAGAGAUGCCCAUCUUUUCUAUCACAAUUUGGCAUACGCUAAAAUGGGUCGCUGCAACAGGCUGGUUUCAUUUGAUUAUUUUGGUACACACAGCUGAACCGACUCAACGGAAACAAACAACAAAUACAUUGCUAAUAAGCUUCAGUCAGGAAAUCAUUGCUCAGGAACCAAGCUUCAUGAUACCUGAUCUCUUCUUGUGAAGGAGUGAGGUUGGUAGGGUGCAAAGGGGUGAGAUGAGACCUAAUUCAUCCCUAAAUAACUUGUUUUCCCAUCCUCCUUAGGCCACAGAGCCCAUCACAACCACCUGCUCAGCACAAGCUCUUUACUAUUUUUCUCAGACCUUGGAGCCCUGGUGGUGCAGUGGAUAAGAGCUUGGCUGCUAACCAAAAGGCUGGCAAUUCAUCCACCAGUCGCUCCUUGGAAACCGUGUGGGGCAGUUCUACUGUGUCCUGUAGGGUCGCUAUGAGUCAGAAUCAACUCGACCACAAUGGGUUUUACUCAGACCUUAGAGGUCAUUCAAUUUCGCACCUUUCACUUCCCUUUAUUUCAAAAUUUCUUGUACUCUCCUUCCCUACAGUCUCAGAGGUAGCGUCCCUCCUUUCCAAAACUAAUUCUUUAACUCCAUUCACUCAAUGGUUACUGAAUGAGAUGCACAGCACACUUGGGAGAAAAGAAAAGGAAAAACACAAAGUUGAGCAUAAAAUUUCCUACUCAAAAAAAUACCUGUUUAUUUAAUCACUUUCUACUUCCUCCAAAACAUUCCUCAGUUACCAUUUCUGGAUACACUUGACUCUGUCCACUGACUCCUUUCCCUCUACCUAUAAAAAUGCUUUAUCACCCCAUCCAGACAAAUACACCUUCCUUCCGUUUUAUCAGUUAAGGACCAUUCCAUGACUCUCCUUCCCUUCACUGCCUACACUUUUACACCCUGUUUUCACCCAUUCACCCAUUCUACAUUAUCAAGCUUAACACUUCUUCCAAUGAUCAGAAAUGGCCUCCUAUUACCAAACUCAGUGAUGUCUCCUCAGUUCUCUUUGACAGCUCUUCUUGAAACCCCCCAGCCUUUGGCAUUUGUAAAGAGUUAUCACCCCUGUUCUACCUAUAUGCGCACUCAAUAAGCAACUGUACGUACAGAAAAAUCUCAUUAUAAGUUCUGGUUAAAUCCUGAAAAAAUAAGCUCCAGAGCUGAAAGGAUGCUAUUUGAGGGUGAGAAGCCACCACUCUGAGAAACAGUGCCUACGGUGCUGUACUCUUUACCUGGCUUCCUCCUCUGCAGUGUAUUGCAAAAUCCUUUCCUUUGCUGGGCUCCCCAUCCCUCAGCUUUGCAUUUGAACCCUGCUUUCCCUUGGAGGUUAUAGGUAAACCCUAUUGCACCUGCGUAAUAUGAUUAAGAAUGUUCCUGAUAUAACCUGUAUGAACUCCCUACUGGUAAACCCCUUUAGACGUAACCUGCCUGCCCACCCUUGGUGGGCAAUCUCAGCAGCAAUAAGCACUGACUGACUCCAUUUCCUUGAACAAUCAAAUAAAGGUGCAUUUUUGUUCUCCCACCUUGGUUUCUCAUUUAUCAGCCAAUACAAGUCAUGCUGAGUAAGAACCUGGGGUUUUCACUCUGUAACAUUUCUGACGAGGCAGCCAGGAGCCAUCUGCUCAGUUCCUGAGGGGGACUGGAAAACAGAACAGCCCUGAUGUAUGGUGCCGCCAGAAGAUUUCUCCUAGAGACCUUGGAGCAGCUCCAGGACCCAAACGAUGGUUCUGUGAAAGACCUGAAAUGUACCUGGGUUGUUUAAGUGCUUAGCUUUGUGGUAUAUUCACCCUACAAGAGUUACUUGCUGCAGGGAUUCUAAAACCACAAAUCCAGUCGACCUUGGGGAGACCUGGACUGCAGAGCAGAAGUCGGCAAAAAGAGAGGUCCUAUCUUUUGGACCCAAGUAUUCGCACUUCAUGUCCCUUCGACACCCAGGGGUGAGUGCUCUCAGAAAACAAGACUUUGUUAAUUCUCUUUGUUCUUUUUCUCAUGUUUUCCUAAGUUUUGUUUGGCAUAUUUGUCUGAAACACCAGUUAAGAAAAAUCUUUCUUAGAUUUUUGCUCAAUCGUUUGUUUUAAAACUGGUAUCUAGUAACCCUUGGUCAACUGCAGUUUAAGUCUGGAUUUGAGCAUUUGAAACAUUAGAGAGUAAUUGUAUUUUCAAAGGGGCCUGAGCCACUACAAGCCAAAAAAAUUCGGGCACGGGUGGGCCAGUAAAAGCCAUUAGGGUGGUCGCGGUGCUCAUCAUGAACGUUAGACUCCCAUGACAGGAUAAGAUGGUCUUGAGACAGGCUAGAGCACUAGACUGCCUGCUGCCCACAAGAUUACGCGCACGCAACGAAGGUACACAUUGGUCUAAGCAUAACACUGUCCAAACUCCACAGUGUUCCUUGUUAGGUUUCUUUUUGUGGCUCAGAGAAAGCCUGGAAAAUAGUACUGUUUUGCCACAUUCGCAGGGAGAAGUGGUACUUCCAUACCUGUUUUAUGAUAGUUUCUCAAUAACGAAUCACAACGUCAAAAUUAAAAUCAUCAGUAGACACUUUACUUUCGAAGAACGAGUAUAUUUAAGGUCUAAAAUAAGACUCUAGGUCUCCAGCCAUUGGAAUGAAUUAAGUUCAAAAUGAAGGAAACCAAAAGCACAAGCCUUAGAACUUAAAAUCUUUGAUACAUGAGCCUGGAUUUCGCCCCCUGCUAAUGACACACUGGUUUGGAGUUCAUAUUUAAAAACACCAUAAACUGAGUAAACUAGAAGUAAUUUGGAAGAUCAGUGACCACUUUGGGAAAAUGAGCUUUCAUUUCUGUUGUCUUGUUUCGGGAACUUAUGCUUGAUGCUCAGAUUUUGUCAAAAGGUCUAAUAUUUCUCUAUCUGAGGCUCUGGCAAAUUAAUAAGUUUAAUAUAGAACCUGUUUUUUGCAUUGAAUUGAGUCAAUCUUACCAAAAAUUGCUAUAUACACUUUAAGAAACUAAGAUCUCCACAUCUUUGUUUUGUGUGGUAUUGUUCGCUGAGUUUAAACGGUCAUUCUCUCCUUUCUUUCUAAGACCUUGCUUCUGGUCUAGAGUGUUGUGUCUCAGUUUCUGUCUUGUAUCAGAUUAGAGGCUAUGGUUGACAAUUUUUGGUUUUGUUAAGUCUGUCUUAGAAUCUCAGUUCUUCCUCAUCCAGAAAAACUGCAUCUUGUGUCUGUGUUAUGGUUUAGAUUUAGUAGCUACUUGGAGAAACUUUUAUAUAAAUUGGUCUAUUUGAAAAGUACAGUUGACAUAACAAAGUUAAUAUUAAGAAAACAUUCUGCAUCCCACUUUGGUAAGUGGAGUCUGAGGUCUUAAAAGUUAGUGAGUGGCCAUCUAAGAUGCAUAGAUUGGUCCCACCCACCAGAGCAAAGAAAAAUGAAGAACACCAAAGACCAGGAAAAAUCAGCCUAAGAAACAAAAAGGGCCACAUAAACCAGAGACUCCAUCAGCCUGAGACCAGAAGAAAUAGAUGGUGCCCGGCUACCACCAAGACUGCCCUGAGAGGGAACACAGCAGGGUCCCUGAUGGAGCAGGAAAAAAGUAGGGUGCAGAACUCAAACUCCAGUAAAAAGACCUGCCUUAAUGGUCUGGGACUGGAGGAACCAUGGCCGCUCUGUUAACCCAAAACUAAAACCACUCCAGAAGCCAACUCUUCAGACAACGAUUUAACUGGACUAUAAGACAUAAAAUGAUACUCAUGAAGAUUGUAUCUCUUAGUUCAGGUAGAUACAUGAGACUAAAUGGGCAGCUCCUGUCCAGAGGCAAGAUGAGAGGGCAGAAAGGGACAGGAAGGAGCUGGUUGAGUGGACACAGGAAAUCCAAGGUGGAAAGGAGUGUGUGUAUAAAUUUUUGUAUGAGAAACUAACUUGAACUGUGAACUUUCACUUAAAGCACAAUUUUUUUUUAAAGUGCAGUAAGAUCUUUAUAUUCUAUACUAUGUCAAUCUUAAAGGUGAAACCUUUCUAAGUAACUUAAGCUAGAUAUUAUAAGAAACAUGUUUUAUUUAAAGGGGUAAUUUUUGUCUCAAAGUAGCAGUUCCAGAAUAGUAAAAAGAAAGAAAUAGGUUAUCUUUUACCAUUUUCAAAAUGCCUAGGUCAACUUAAACAUAUGUAAAUGGACUGGGAUGACCCCCCUCCCCCACCCCAGGCCCAGUCUGGCUAGCCAAGAAUUGAUGGAUUCAUUUACAAAAUUGCUAAAGAGCUUUGGUAUUUACUGGGUAGAUACAAAACCAAAAAACCCAUUGCAGUGGGGUCAAUUUCGAUUCAUAGCGACCCUAUAGUACUGAGUAGAACUGCCCCAAAGGGUUUCCAAGGAGCACCUGGUAUUUUUGAACUGCUGACCUUUUUGUUAGCAGCCGUAACUCUUAACCACUAUGCCACCAGGGUUUCCACUGGGUAGACAGCCUUUCAAAAUGCCUGGAUCAAUUUAAAUAUAUGUAAAUGAAUCACAAUGGCCUAAUCUUGUCCUCUACCAUGAGUCAAAAAUAGAGCGGGACAACAUCAGGGUUCCCUGGCCACUAGCCUCCAAGUUCAUAUAGAAAUCACAGUAAGACACACCUGAAAUGACCUGGAAAACUGUUUCCAAUCCUAGCCAGACACUUAAGGUUAUAUCCGUAUCAAUGAAUUGGUCAGUUGAGCAGAGACUUUGUGAUUACAAAGCCAGUUGAUAAAAUCUUUAGGGCUAAAAUUAAAUUGGGAAAUUAUGAAAAAAAAAGUAAAAGUUGAAUGAAAACUUAGAAUGUUUAAACACUUUCAACAACAGUUUUAUGACUUAAAAUAAUUUAAGGCCUUUUGGUGACUUAUUGAUGUUAAAUUGAAUUAACAGAUAUUUGUCAUAAUUUAAGCUUAUAUGCUUCUGUGUUAUGCCACAAGAACAUAUAUAUAUGUGUGUGUAUAUUUGGGUCUGCUAAUGAGUGUGUUCAUUUUUGCCAUUUAAAGAGAUGCAACAUAAGAGGUAUGCAACAAAGACAACGUUUAAGAGGUUUAUUAAAAAGAAAUUUAUUUGAUAUGGUCAAAAGUUUUAUCAGUCUGACUAAAUUUUAAUGGUUUAACUUAUGAGAUUUUCAGGAGUUUUAGCAUUAAAUAAAAUAUAAAACAAAGAAUUAGGUCUCUUGCUGUUUUAAUCACAAAAUUUUCUUUGAUUUCUGAGUUGAAGCUGCCUGGAAGGCAGAGGUUUGGCCUCUCAUUAGGAAAAGAUUCCUGAGCCAAAAACCAGGCCGCAUGGCACGUUUAGGAAAAAAAAAAAAAAAAGCCAAGGUUUUUACUUUCAAAUCUUUGGUUAAAUAAUUUAAGCAUUGUUUCACGCUUAUCUACAACAAUCUCCUGAAAACUCUGAAACUUCAUGGCAAGCCACAAAAAAAUUUUUAUAAAGGAAAAGUGCUAAAAAGUUUUAUUUGAUAAAUACAUGGAAGAUGUUGUCAAAAUAAAGAAAAACACCUGAUUCUCUUUGGGUUAGGAUUUAUACGUUAGUAUCUUCUGUUGUGUUUUUGCCUAAUAUUAGACAGCAAGUGCAUAAUAUUAUGUCAUUUUAUUAUUUCUUAAUUGCUAACUUGGUCACAACUUUAUGAAAGGCAAUGGUUUGAUAGAGAAUUCACAUUAUUUACCUAUUUUCUUUUAUUACUAUUCAGGUAUUUAAAGAUUUGAUAAUCUUGGUAUAUUCUUGGUAUACCCUGGCUUGGUAUAUCCUGGUAUUAUGUCUCAAGAUUAUUAUGUAUUUAUAUCUGAAGCUCUUUAAAAUACAGUUAAUGGGUUAUAUUUAGAGAUAUAUUUAUCUGAAGUUUUUUUUUUUUUAACUGAUUUUAUUUGGCCUUUAUGUUAUGCUUUUAAUUAAUUUCUAUCAGGUCUUUCACUGUAAGAGCAUUAUUUUUAUAAGUUAAUCAUGUCCAUACUAAGUUUUGUUACCUGUAGGUAAGUUUUUACUUUGCUGAUUUGUUGGGAAUGUUUUGCCAGAGUAUCUAACAAAAAGAUGGACUAUAUUGGACUUGCAAAAAGGAGUUUGACUAGACUGAAUAACACUUCCAGAAUUCCUAUACAGAAGCUGACUGUAGCUGAUCCAGAAUCACAUAGAACAAAAGUAACUACAUAAGACUGAGUAAACGAAAGGAAACUAUGGUUUUAUGUGGGAAUAAUGCUGAUGUUUUAAGAUCCUACUUUCUAGAUUUAAGAAACCAUUUUCCUUUCUCCUAAGUUAUUUAACUAGUGGGUAUAGAUACUGUUACUCUUGAAUUAGAAGUUCUUCUCUCAUAAAAAGUUUUGUGACACUGCUGCUUUUGACAAAGUGACCCAUAACUGUUAAUAGGUAGACCAAGGAGGGACAGCUUGCCCUCGAAAGAACACUUAAUAUGUUUUAAACAGAUUAACUGAAGACCUCCAAUAGGAGAGGUACAUCCUGUAUCACCUUGUUAAUCACGUAUUCUCUAAAGACAAUCUGGUUGUUGUGAAUUUUUCUAUACCUUCUGUUUCCUCUAGACAAAUUUUUUGUGUUGUGAAUCCAACUAUACUGGUUUUAAAUGAUGCCUUUCCAACAGACUGUGAGUUUACAUGGGCAAUCUCUUUUUUAGAUUCCUGGUGAAUGUGUGCGCAACGCACUUUGAGAAUUUUAGGAUUACCUUUAGAUAUUCACAGUAAUGAUACUAGUAAAUAUUGAGACCAAACCAAAACCAAAUCCAGUGCCAUCGAGUCAAUUCCGACUCAUAGCAACCCCAUAGGACAGAGUAGAACUGCCCCAUAGUUUCCAAGAAGCGCCUGGUGGAUUCGAACUGCCGACCCUUUGGUUAGCAGUCGUAGCAUUUAACCACUACGCCACCAGGGUUUCCAAAUAUUGUAAAAAUAUAUAUAUAUAUAUAUAUAGUAAAGGUAAUGUUAAAUUGUUACACACUAUAGAAGGAGUCAAAAAGAAACCCACUAGUUCAACACUCAGGGUACGGUUGGUAGCUUUAAUUCCUAGUUAUGGUAUAGCUGAACUGGAGAAAUCUUUAAGAAACUUAUCAAUCAUUAUGGGACAAAUAACAGACAAAGUUGCUAAUGAAAUAAAAACACAACAGUAAUCUCUGACCUCAUCAGCCAAGGUGACAUGAGAUAACAAAAUACCCUUAGAUUUUUUUUAUUAGCCCAACAAAGUAUGGUCUGUGCUGUAGCAAAUACCUCUUAUUGCAUCUGGAUAAAUAACACAGGAGAAGUAGAACAGGACAUACAUAGAAUUAGACUGCAAGCUAUUUGGUUACACACUGUAACACCCUUACAAACACCAGAUUUAUUUCGUUGGUUAACACCAGGAAUAAAUACUGCAAGGGAUAGUAAUAUUCUUAGUCUGCAUCCUGAGAGUCUCACACACCUUAAAGGGCAAAAGGCGGUCUCCGGCUAAGAUGCUGAUGUUCACUCCAGCAAUGCGAUUGAGAACAUCACUCUUACUUAAUAUCCUGGUGAAGGACCAAAUACUAUCUGGGGGAAAACCAUCACCAUGCGUUUAUAAAGCCUGCAGUGGCCACCAUUUAGGAGCUUGACCAAGUCCAAGUAUUGACCAUUGAUUUCUCAUCUCCAAUCUCCAAUCAUGAGGGAAUGAUUUAGAAAAUAAUAUUGAAAUCAUUAUUCCCUGUCCUUGAGCACAGAGAAUGUGACAAAGCUGGAACUGGACUCACAAAGACUCAUAAAGACACAUCAACUGGGCCCUGAGGUACAAAGGCAAUAGCUAAGACAAUCUUGGGGGGGGGGGGGAAAAGAAUCUCUUAGGGAGACAUUACACAAACAGGGCAUAAAAAAGCCACUUUUUCUUUUAAUACUUAGUAAACAGUCAGUUAUAAACCAACAAAAGGCCAGCACCCACAAUGAAAGGCCUAGGUCCAAUAUUUGUUCCUCUCUGAAAAUAUGCCAAACAAUUCCAAGCCAGGCUAUAGUUCAAAAUGGACAGUGAUCUUGAAUGACCAACGUCCAAAAGACAACGGCAGGAGUGAGACAGAACUGACCAAUGUCCAAAAGACAACGGCAGGAGUGAGACAGAACUGACCAAUGUACAAAAGACAACGGCAGGAGUGAGACAGAACUGACCAAUGUCCAAAAGACAACGGCAGGAGUGAGACAGAACUGACCAAUGUCCAAAAGAAAACGGCAAGAGUGAGACAGAACUGACCGAUGUCCAAAAGACAACGGCAGGAGUGAGACAGAACUGACCGAUGUCCAAAAGAAAACGGCAGGAGUGAGACAGAACUGACCAAUGUCCAAAAGAAAACGGGAAGAGUGAGACAGAACUGACCAAUGUCCAAAAGAAAACGGGAGGAGUGAGACAGAACUGACCAAUGUCCAAAAGAAAACGGCAGGAGUGAGACAGAACUGACCGAUGUCCAAAAGAAAACGGGAGGAGGAGACAGAACUGACCAAUGUCCAAAAGAAAACGGCAGGAGUGAGACAGAACUGACCAAUGUCCAAAAGAAAACGGGAGGAGUGAGACAGAACUGACCAAUGUCCAAAAGAAAAGGGCAGGAGUGAGACAGAAUGCCUAAGGUGCUGUACUCUUUACCUGCUUCCUUCCCUGCAGUAUUAUAUUGCAAAAUCCUUUCCUUUGCUGGGCUCCCCCAGCUCAGCUUUGCAUUUGGAGCCUGCUUUUGCUAGGAGGUUAUAUGUAAACCCCAUUGCGCCUGCAUAGUAUGAGUAGUAUGAUUAAGAACGUUGCUGAUGUAAUGUGUAUGAACUCCAUACUUAUAAACCCCUUUAAAAGUAACCUGCCUGCCAGCCCUUGGGAAGCAGUCUUGGCAGCUGUAAGCAGGGAUUGACUCCAUUUCCUUGUACAAUGAAAUAAAGGUACCUUUUUUUUUUCUUUUUUUGUUCUCCCACCUCAGUCUCUCAUUUAUUGGCCAAUACAACUCACUGGUUAACAGUUCUUUCACAUAGUACCUUAAACCCCAAUCUACACUGAGACCACACAUUUGGAGGUGAACUGCUGGGACGUGUCUUUGCAUUUCAGACUGUAUUUCAUCUUGUACCCCUGCUACCUGACUCAAUAAAUUUCCUUCCUCCAUAAACACCUUCAAGUCACUCCUCUAUAACACCCAGCAAUCGGCUAACCGAAAGGUAACAGUUCAAAUCCCCAGGUGCUCCCUGGAAGCCCUAUGGGGCAGUUUUACUCUGAAAAAAAAAAAAUUUUUUUUUUAUACGGUCACUAUGAGUCAUAAUUGACUCAACAGCAAUAUGUUUUUGGGUUUUUAGUUCCCUAAAUGUACCCUAGUUUUACUUUCAGUUGCAUUAUUUACAUCACGUUCCCUGAACACUCCCAUCCUUUUACCUCUGGAUCACCUUGGAAGGAACUCCUACCUUCCUCCUGCUCCACUAAGUCACCUGCUGAAGUCCCACAUCACUCCCCAACCCUGCUAGCUAAAAAAAGUCACUCUCCUUUAUACCUGCUAUACUCUUUCUACCUUUAUUACAAAGAUAAACCCCGCUACCUUUUGUAAAUUCUGUAAAUGUUUUCUCCCAUUAGAACGAGUUUAUGUGCUUUUUACAUACCUGAGACUGUUUAGCGUAGCAUCUUGGACAUAGUAUCUUGGACAUAGUAGGUGUUCCAUAUUCAUUAAACUAAACUGGAAUAGUAACCACUCAAUUCACUGUCCCGUUCUAACCUCUAUAAUGGCUGAAACCUCAAGGACAUGAAUUCUUAAUUCUCCGCUAGAUCUGUCUGUAAGUUCGAUUCUUUACUUUGAGCCUAAACAAAUCUACAAGUCUAAAACAAAUUCCUCAACAGAAGAAAGGUCUUUGAGAAUUAUCUGAAAAGAGGUUUUUUUUUUUUUUAAUAUUUGGAAUGUUAACCUUGCAGAAAUUAUUUUAAUAACUAGAUACAAAAAAAAAAAAAACUCAAAUGCUCCUUAUAUUAAAAUUAAGGGAAUAUAUUUUAUCAGUUCUUUAUCCUCUGCAUGUCAAGAAGAUCUGAUGGACAGACACUAUUCAUAGGAAAGGUGUCUUCUAAAAUGAGCUUAUAGUUAUAACAACUGUGUCAUCUAAGUGUAAUCAGAGACAUACGAAAGGCUGUUCAAAAUGUCUUUAGCCCUGAAGGAGGUUAAGUCCUUGACAACUCUUGAGAAAACUGAACCAAAUAUAUAUAUAUAACACUAGCCCCAGAGUUUUAAUCAUCUUACCAUAAUUAUUGUCAAAUAUAUUCUGAUCUCAAAUUUUAAGAUAUUUUAGAAAAUGGUAUAUUCUAGUUUUGUCUAAGUAAAUUAAAAGUCAGCAUCUGUCAGUUGUAGAUGUUAGCUUUACCUAUUGAUUUUCUACACUUUAAAUGUCAUGCUCAUCCCCUAAUUUUGUUUUAUUUUACUGACAUGAUAAGCCUUAUCGACUAUUAAAUAAAAUACAUUCUAUUUUUAUAAGACAAAAGAUUCAUUACUUUUAAAAUAUAUUUUAUUAAAUAACCCACUAGGAUAAUAAUUACAAAAGCUUUAGACAGUAAUUCCAAGUACUGAAAGGCAAUUUCCUUAAAAAAAAAAAAAAAAAGACCAGUCCA